UACGAACGCUGGCGGCGCGCCUAACACAUGCAAGUCGAACGAGCGAAAGAGAGCUUGCUUUCUCGAGCGAGUGGCGAACGGGUGAGUAACGCGUGAGGAACCUGCCUCAAAGAGGGGGACAACAGUUGGAAACGACUGCUAAUACCGCAUAAGCCCACAGGUCGGCAUCGACCAGAGGGAAAAGGAGCAAUCCGCUUUGAGAUGGCCUCGCGUCCGAUUAGCUAGUUGGUGAGGUAACGGCCCACCAAGGCGACGAUCGGUAGCCGGACUGGGAGGAAGGUCCCCCACAUUGGAACUGAGACACGGUCCAA
rnacentral:rRNA from 1 species